AUUGAACGCUGGCGGCAGGCCUAACACAUGCAAGUCGAACGAGUGGCGGACGGGUGAGUAAUGUCUGGGACACUGCCCGAUGGAGGGGGAUCACUACUGGAAACGGUAGCUAAUACCGCCUACCAUCGGAUGUGCCCAGGUGGGAUUAUCUAGUGGGUGGGGUAACGGCUCACCUAGGCGACGAUCCCUAGCUGGUCUGAGAGGAUGACCAGCCACACUGUAACUGAGACACGGUCCAGACUCCUACGGGAGGCAGCAGUGGGGAAUAUUGCACAAUGGGCGAAAGCCUGAUGCAGCCAUGCCGCGUGUAUGAAGAAGGCCUUCGGGUUGUAAAGUACUUUCAGCGGGGAGGCGUUACUAGCAGAAGAAGCACCGGCUAACUCCGUGCCAGCAGCCGCGGUAAUAC
rnacentral:rRNA from 1 species